UAUCUCUGUAGAGUCUGCAUAUCAAUAAGCGGAGGAAAAGAAACUAACUAGGAUUCCCUCAGUAACGGCGAGUGAAGCGGGAAGAGCUCAAAUUUGAAAUCUUCAAGGUUUUACCUUGACGAAUUGUAGUUUAAAGAAGUGUUUUCUGUUGGAGUUUUCGGUAAAAGUUCUUUGGAAUAGGACAUCAUAGAGGGUGAGAAUCCCGUAUUUGACCGUUACUUUCAGCUGUGUGAUACACUUUCAAAGAGUCGGAUUGUUUGGGAAUGCAGUCCAAAAUGGGUGGUAAAUUUCAUCUAAAGCUAAAUAUUGGCGAGAGACCGAUAGCGAACAAGUACCGUGAGGGAAAGAUGAAAAGAACUUUGAAAAGAGAGUUAAACAGUACGUGAAAUUGUCAAAAGGGAAGCGUUUGACACCAGUGUUGUUUUCUCGAAAAUCAAUUAAAAAUAGUUGGAUUUUGUGUUGUAUUGACCUUAUAAGCUUUCUUCACUUUUUUCAUGUUAUUUUUAAUGCACUUUUCGUUUAACAAGUCAACAUCAAGUUUCUUUUGUUGUAAAAGGUCAUUGGAAGGUGGCUUUCACUUCGGAUGAAAGUGUUUAUAGCCUUUGACUUCUACAAUCGGAGAGACUUGAGGUCUGCAGCGUAGAUCCUUCGGGAUUAGAUUACUUAGAUGCUAAGUUAUAGCUUUUUCAUAGACAACUUGUUGACUAUGAUUAGUCAUGUAGCUUACUCGCUUACUGCUAAUUUUACCUACGCUUAGGAUGUUGAUCUCUCACAGUCGAGC
rnacentral:rRNA from 1 species